GACAAAAGCGGGAGUGCGGGUCACGUGACGCGGGAAGGCGCGAGCGCGCCGUUGUUACCAUGGUAACAGCCUCACAAGCGCUCCAGGAGUGGCCCUGCGUAAUGCGCAACAGAAGUACGGAGCCCGGCCAAGGGCGAUAAACUACGGACUUACGAGGUCCCACGGCUGUACCGCCGCGCCCUUCCUCCCAACGUGGAGCUGAAGCGAGCCCGCGAGCAUACAGUAAAUAUGCUGAAUAGUCAAUUUUCAGCUGUGUAGCAACACAUCUUUCAUCUUGUCAAAGCAUUCUUCCUCUAAAUCUUGGAACCAAGAAGGAGCCAAGCCUGAAGGUGGAGGACCUGCAUAGAAGGGUGAAGAGAGGUGAGGAAUGAGGCUGAAGAGGAACCAUAGACUUAUUGCCAUCUGUGCCAGACCUUGUCUUCAGCUGCUGGCAGAGGGUGCACUCUUGUGGGAUGUGUGUCUCUCCCAGGCAUCGGACACAGCAAGAAUGUGUGUCUUCUACAGGAAUUGCUUCCUUGCAGCAGAGGCACCUCAUGAAACCGGGGGAGUCAGGCAUGCCCCUGGUGAGGCUAUCAACCUCCAAAAGCGAGCAAUGCAAAAUAAAAGUCUGCUCUUCUU